rnacentral:siRNA from 1 species
CUUGUUCGUUUCAUCACGAUACAA